rnacentral:rRNA from 1 species
UACAGAGGUCUCAAGCGUUGUUCGGAUUCAUUGGGCGUAAAGGGUGCGUAGGUGGCCCGGUCAGUUCGUGGUGAAAGCGCGGGGCUCAACCCUGCGUCGGCCAUGAAUACUGCCGCGGCUGGAGCACUGUAGAGGCAGGCGGAAUUCCGGGUGUAGCGGUGGAAUGCGUAGAGAUCCGGAAGAACACCCGUGGCGAAGGCGGCUACUCUGGGACGGUACUGGACGCUGAGGCGCGAAAGCGUGGGGAGCGAACGAGG